CUUAUAGGAAGCCUGCUCAUGAUAUAUUUUAAAUAGCCGCAGAUAUUCUGUGCUAAGGUAGCAUAAUCAUUUGCUUUCUAAUUAAAAGCUAGAAUGAAAGGUUUAACGUUUUAAUUUCUUUUUUAUUUAUAUAUUAUUAAAAUUUUAUUAAAUAUAAAAAUAUAUUUAUAUAUUAAAUAGACGACAAGACCCUGUUGAACUUAACUUUAGUUUAGCUGGGGCAGCUUAUUAAUUAUAAUUUUAAUCAAUUUUAUUUAAUAAAUUAUCCAAUAUAUUUGAUUAAUUUAUCAAGUUACCACAGGGAUAACAGCGUAAUAUUAAUUUAAAGCUCAUAUUAAAAUUAAUGUUUGCGACCUCGAUGUUGAAUUAUAAUUCUAUAUUAACGCAAUAGUUAUAAAAGUAGGUCUGUUCGACCUUUAAUAUUUUACAUGAUCUGAGUUCAAACCGGA
rnacentral:rRNA from 1 species